rnacentral:rRNA from 1 species
UACGUAGGUGACAAGCGUUGUCCGGAUUUACUGGGCGUAAAGAGCGCGCAGGCGGUCGUUCAAGUCGAGUGUGAAAGCCCCCGGCUCAACUGGGGAGGGUCACUCGAUACUGAUCGACUCGAAGGCAGGAGAGGGUAGUGGAAUUCCCGGCGUAGUGGUGAAAUGCGUAGAUAUCGGGAGGAACACCAGUGGCGAAGGCGACUACCUGGCCUGUUCUUGACGCUGAGGCGCGAAAGCUAGGGGAGCAAACGGG